rnacentral:rRNA from 1 species
UACGUAGGUGGCAAGCGUUGUCCGGAAUUAUUGGGCGUAAAGCGCGCGCAGGCGGUCUCUUAAGUCUGAUGUGAAAUCUCGCGGCUCAACCGUGAGCGGUCAUUGGAAACUGGGAGACUUGAGUGCAGAAGAGAAGAGCGGAAUUCCACGUGUAGCGGUGAAAUGCGUAGAGAUGUGGAGGAACACCAGUGGCGAAGGCGGCUCUUUGGUCUGUAACUGACGCUGAGGCGCGAAAGCGUGGGGAGCGGACAGG